rnacentral:lncRNA from 1 species
AGGGAACUCUGGCUUUCUCCUUCAGCACUACACACUGCAGCUUACACAAUGAAUGGUGGUUGGACUGAUGCCGGUGGUGACAAAUGUCCAAGGCUUAUGUGGGUUCUUGGUGUGGGGUUGUGUGUCCAUGUUGCCUCUCUGUCCUGAGGAACUGCCUCUCUGAGAAAUGGCAUCUGUCUCCCCCGCGGCAACACGGGCUCUGUGAGCGCAUGAGGUAACGUCACAUGGCUGCUCAGUGAAAGAAAGAGGCAGCAGGCCAUUUUCCUGACUCUCCUUACAGGUUUCCGGUUAUAAAUACCUGACGGUGCCUAGGUCCUUAUCAAGUGGCUACAGUGCCGAGUGAGCUGUGACAGGUGCAGCUGAGGUUACUUCAGCCAGAAAGCCUGAGAAUUAGCAUACAGAGCGGUGGCGGCUCUGCUGCAAAGUGGCAUUCUUCCACAGGACUGAAACACAGAGGGAAUGAUGGGAAAACGUGUCUUCCCUCUGUCUUCCUACUACCCCAUUGCGGUUCUUCUGGGCUGCCCAUCUCUUCUGCAAGAUGCAUGGCUCUCUGGGAAGAACUGGAAAAGAGCUCAACCCGUUAUGCUCGGCACCUACGAGAAUGGAUUAUAAAAGAUCGGGCUAUGACAAAGACAUUUGUCACGAGGAAAAACGAAUGAGUGAAGGAAUGAACAAGGCACCAGUGAAGAAAUCUCUUGCUAAACUUCAAGCCCCUCAUCCCUCCUUCCCGUUUCUCAUCUAUGUGAAGCGUUUGUUGGAUGUGACAAGGCCCUAGAUCCCACAUCCUGACAUCUGAGGAAAUGGGACACAGGCAUUCGCUCCCCUGCAGAGCUUUAGAAUUGACGCCCACCAAGAAUGGCCUGGGUGUCAGCCUUCUUGGGUCAGAAACAGGGCAAGAUGUCCUGUAGGGGGCCUAUGCAUCUGGUUCUCACCCAACAUCUCCUCUACCUGGCCUACUCCAGAGCUGCCUGUAUGCAUGCGUGCUGACCAGCC